rnacentral:rRNA from 1 species
UACAGAGGGGGCAAGCGUUGUUCGGAAUUACUGGGCGUAAAGGGCGCGUAGGCGGCCCGCUAAGUCGAACGUGAAAUCCCCGAGCUCAACUCGGGAACUGCGUCCGAUACUGGUGGGCUUGAAUCCGGGAGAGGGAUGCGGAAUUCCAGGUGUAGCGGUGAAAUGCGUAGAUAUCUGGAGGAACACCGGUGGCGAAGGCGGCAUCCUGGGCCGGCAUUGACGCUGAGGCGCGAAAGCUAGGGGAGCAAACGGG